UACGGAGGGUGCAAGCGUUGCUCGGAAUUAUUGGGCGUAAAGGGUAGGUAGGUGGUCUCAUUUGUCUGGGGUGAAAGCCUUGAGCUUAACUCAAGAAGUGCCCCAGAGACGGUGAGACUCGAGUCCUGGAGAGGGUCGUGGAAUUCCCGGUGUAGCGGUGAAAUGCGUAGAGAUCGGGAGGAACACCAGAGGCGAAGGCGGCGACCUGGACAGGUACUGACACUCAACUACGAAAGCGUGGGGAGCAAACAGG
rnacentral:rRNA from 1 species